GAUGAACGCUAGCUACAGGCUUAACACAUGCAAGUCGAGGGGAAACGACAUCGAAAGCUUGCUUUUGAUGGGCGUCGACCGGCGCACGGGUGAGUAACGCGUAUCCAACCUGCCCACCACUUGGGGAUAACCUUGCGAAAGUAAGACUAAUACCCAAUGAUAUCCCACGAAGACAUCUGAAUGGGAUUAAAGAUUUAUCGGUGAUGGAUGGGGAUGCGUCUGAUUAGCUUGUUGGCGGGGUAACGGCCCACCAAGGCAACGAUCAGUAGGGGUUCUGAGAGGAAGGUCCCCCACAUUGGAACUGAGACACGGUCCAAACUCCUACGGGAGGCAGCAGUGAGGAAGAUUGGUCAAUGGGCGAGAGCCUGAACCAGCCAAGUAGCGUGCAGGAAGACGGCCCUAUGGGUUGUAAACUGCUUUUAUAAGGGAAUAAAGUGGGUCACGUGUGACUUUUUGCAUGUACCUUAUGAAUAAGGACCGGCUAAUUCCGUG
rnacentral:rRNA from 1 species